rnacentral:rRNA from 1 species
GACGAACGCUGGCGGCGUGCUUAACACAUGCAAGUCGAACGGUGAAGGGACUGGUUUUGCUGGUCCUGGAUGAGUGGCGAACGGGUGAGUAACACGUGAGUAACCUGCCCCCUUCUUCUGGAUAACCGCAUGAAAGUGUGGCUAAUACGGGAUAUUCUGGGUCUGUCGCAUGGUGGGCCUGGGAAAGAUUGCGCCUUUUUUGGUGUUUUUGGUGGGGGAUGGGCUCGCGGCCUAUCAGCUUGUUGGUGGGGUGAUGGCCUACCAAGGCGGUGACGGGUAGCCGGCCUGAGAGGGUGGACGGUCACGCUGGGACUGAGACACGGCCCAGACUCCUACGGGAGGCAGCAGUGGGGAAUAUUGCACAAUGGGCGCAAGCCUGAUGCAGCGACGCCGCGUGAGGGAUGGAGGCCUUCGGGUUGUGAACCUCUUUCGCCAGUGAAGCAGGCCUGCCUCUUUUUGUGGGUGGGUUGACGGUAGCUGGAUAAGAAGCGCCGGCUAACUACGUG